AGAGUUUGAUCCUGGCUCAGGAUGAACGCUGGCGGCGUGCCUAACACAUGCAAGUCGAGCGAACCCUUCGAGGUGAGCGGCGGACGGGUGAGUAACGCGUGGGUAACCUGCCCUGUACACACGGAUAACAUACCGAAAGGUAUGCUAAUACGAGAUAAUAUAUUUUAAUCGCAUGGUUAAGAUAUCAAAGCUCCGGCGGUACAGGAUGGACCCGCGUCUGAUUAGCUAGUUGGUGAGGUAAUGGCUCACCAAGGCGACGAUCAGUAGCCGACCUGAGAGGGUGAUCGGCCACACUGGAACUGAGACACGGUCCAGACUCCUACGGGAGGCAGCAGUGGGGAAUAUUGCACAAUGGGCGAAAGCCUGAUGCAGCGACGCCGCGUGAGCGAUGAAGGCCUUCGGGUCGUAAAGCUCUGUCCUCAAGGAAGAUAAUGACGGUACUUGAGGAGGAAGCCCCGGGCUAACUACGUGCCAGCAGCCGCGGU
rnacentral:rRNA from 1 species